rnacentral:ncRNA from 1 species
GGAAUGGCGUUGACAAAGAGUAGUAACUUAUUUCGGAUACUUUAGAGAGCUGAUGGUUGGUGGAAAUCAGCGUAUUGAUUUAAGUGAAUGGACUUUCGAGCCUCCAAACUGAAAACCGUAAAGGUUAUUAGGCUUUGGCGAAUGAGUCUCAUCGUUACAAGAGACAGGUAUUCAAGCAAACGCUUUGAUACUAUUCAAGUGAGCUGAUUUCAGCUAACAAAGGUGGCACCACGGGUUUCUCGUCCUUUUU